GUCUACGGCCAUACCACCCUGAAAGCGCCCGAUCUUGUCUGAUCUCGGAAGCUAAGCAGGGACGGGCUUGGUUAGUACCUGGAUGGGAGACCGCCUGUGAAUACCAGGUGUUGUAGGCU
rnacentral:rRNA from 1 species